GGGUGCGUAACGCGUAUGCAACCUACCUGUAACAGGGGGAUAACACUGAGAAAUCGGUACUAAUACCGCAUAACACUAUGAGAGGCGUCUCUUGUGGUUGAAAGUUUCGGCGGUUACAGAUGGGCAUGCGUUGUAUUAGCUGGUUGGUAAGGUAACGGCUUACCAAGGCGACGAUACAUAGGGGGACUGAGAGGUUAACCCCCCACAUUGGUACUGAGACACGGACCAAACUCCUACGGGAGGCAGCAGUGAGGAAUAUUGGUCAAUGGACGGAAGUCUGAACCAGCCAUGCCGCGUGCAGGAAGACGGCUCUAUGAGUUGUAAACUGCUUUUGUACAAGGGUAAACCUGAAUACGUGUAUUCAGCUGAAAGUAUUGUACGAAUAAGGAUCGGCUAACUCCGUGCCAGCAGCCGCGGUAAUACGGAGGAUCCAAGCGUUAUCCGGAUUUAUUGGGUUUAAAGGGUGCGUAGGCGGAUUGAUAAGUUAGAGGUGAAAUGUCCGAGCUCAACUCGGGAACUGCCUCUAAUACUGUUGAUCUAGAGAGUAGAUGCGGUAGGCGGAAUGUAUGGUGUAGCGGUGAAAUGCUUAGAGAUCAUACAGAACACCGAUUGCGAAGGCAGCUUACCAAUCUAUAUCUGACGUUGAGGCACGAAAGCGUGGGGAGCAAACAGGAUUAGAUACCCUGGUAGUCCACGCAGUAAACGAUGAUAGCUCGUUGUCGGCG
rnacentral:rRNA from 1 species